GGGCGUGGCCGGGAAGGGCGUGGCCGGGAAGGGCGUGGCCGGGAAGGGCGUGGCCGGGAAAGGCGGGCUGAGGCCUGGAGGAGCUGCUGUUACCAAUGUCUCCUGGUUCCAGUUUACUUCUCAGUUCCCAAGAUGAGAGUCCCAGUGCUCAUUAAAAUGUGAAAGAUCCGGAGAAUCCCUGCAGCAAGGAGACUGGCUGAGGUAUUUACAAAGCAGUUAAUUAACAUCACACUGCAGCAAACCCAUCAGCUUAGGUGGAUUGGAAGCCUGACAACUCCUUCUCCCAACUGAUGAACAUGGCGACCAGGAAGCUGAGUGGUGAUGACGGAGGUGACACCAGAGGCAUUGAGACCAAGAGCCUGCCUGCAGUUGGUAGAAAUAUUGCUGCUCAAGUACUAAAUAUGUCUCAGAGAGAAUUGUAUUUGAGUAUCUCAGCAAAGCUUAAAAAAAAAACAAAGAAAAUGCUGAAUCUGUAAUCGUUAUAUCACAAACAAUACAGGACCCUUCAUGUAUUUGAAGCCCCUGUGGCCUCUCUCCAGGGUUUAUCCAAAUAAGAGUCCACUCAUACCAGCCCUGAAAGAGAGUGUGAACCCCAGGAGCUUUAGUGCUCAGCAAAGGUGUCUAACUCACCACUGCUGGAUUUGCAGUUCAGGGCACCAUUUUGAUGAUACCCAGAAGUUUCAAGGUGUAAAAAGAAAACCAAGAAUGACAGAUUUCAAUGCAUUUCCAUUCCGUGUUUGUUUAAGUCAAGGCUCACCAAGGUAAAUGGCAAUACCCACCCUGAGGUUGUGUGUAUUUCCAGUGUCUAGCAAUUCUCAACAGAGCAGAGGGGAAACUCAGUUUGAAGAAAUUAAAUACCAACCUGCCCUUGC